CUCGUUUGGAUUAAUUCUGAUAUAAUAACUGUUGGUUUAUUUAUCGGAGGAACAGCAGAACCUUUUCCACAGACAGUUUUCCUGCCCGUUGGCUUGUUUUAACCAGUUUUCUGCCUUCGGCUGAUUCUACCAGCAGACACCGAAAGGACUCUGAUACUUCAAGUGAAAGUAGCAGUUCCUCCUGAAGGUCAGAGAUUGCAGCAUCUGAGGGCCUCUUCAAAAGAAGACGUAGUUGAUGAAGACGUUCUGGAGCAGGACCAGAAAGACCACGACCAAGCAGCCUUGAGAUCUUAGGCAGCGUCUCCCUCAGGUCCCUCUCUAUCUCCCCACACAUCCACCAACCACUGGAACACAUCUCCAAAGUUCUGCCAGGCCAGCUCAGCUUCCCCUCAGAAGAAGUGCUGCCACCUGCCAGAUGAAGGAGCCUUUUGAGAGGCAGCUGGCAUCGUGAUUGGACUGUACUUUGGUCUGUUCCAAUCCAGCUUCAGCUCCAGAGACGGCAGGCGGGACGAGUCAACGGAGGCCGGGUGGACGAAGGCAUGCAGCUGAGUACAAUCCAGAAAACAACAGAGGAGGAGUGCAGCGGCCCAGUAUAGCCUUCGACCAAAGAACUACAGACUCUUCACAACCUGCUCUAACUCUUGGUACAGGACCUCACCACACGGGUCAAGAAGGUUUCUGUCUCAUUUCUACUCUGAAGCUCACCUUCUCCUGCUCAAACUGCUGACAAAUGUUUCUGCUGCUCUAAAGUCUGCUCUCCAGAACUUCCUAAAAACUCUCAAAGUCUCUUUUGCUGCAGGUUGCUUUGAAGAACUGUUACAGAAAACCUCACUAACCCACAUGGAGGGGCCUCAAGAUAGACAUCCAAAUGAAACCGUACAAAAACCAAACUCGCACAACCCAAACGCUAAAGUCUCCUGCAGCCUACCAGAGAACCUCUUUAAACAGAGAAUCAGGACAGGAACUCUUACCUUCUGGACAACCAAUGCUGGUUCACAAACAAGAAUACAGAAUGUGUCUGACCAAAAACCUCUAAAGACUCACUACAGCCAAGAUAAAGACACAGCUCACCUGCACCAAAUCCACUAAUCACUGCACACAUUAGGACCAUGUGCUCACUGUGGCUAAAGAACCACAUUUACCAAGACAACUAUCCAGUACAAAGCCCUAAAACACACCAAGAAACACAUUAAAGACGAUUUUACUGCUGGAAGCUGCAGUUCAGUGGUGAACAGAAGCAGAGGAAAUGUUUGGCUGCAGCUAAAUAAAGCAGGAAGACACUGAGCUGCUCAGGUGUUCCUGAUAACACCAAGCAGCCACCUGGACAGCCAAUAGGAACACAGCUUACUGGAAGUCCAGACGGCUGGCUUAGUCAAGGAAAUUUAGUUUAAAGUUGAAGCAGAAAGUUAACAAAGAAAGU